ACUUGGAUAUGGAUUCUUCACGGUAACGUAACUGAAUGUGAAGACGUCGGUAUAAGCCCUGGGAGGAGUUAUCUUUUCUUCUUAACAGCUUAACACCCUGGAAUUGGUUUAUCCGGAGAUAGGGUNUUAUGGCUNGAAGAGCGCAAUACCNNNGUUGCGUCCGGUGCGCUUAUNACGGCCNNUGAAAAUUCANAGGAAGGAAUAGUUUUCAUGCCAAGUNGUACU
rnacentral:rRNA from 1 species